rnacentral:rRNA from 1 species
AGAACGAACGCUGGCGGCGUGCCUAACACAUGCAAGUCGAACGAGAAAGUGGAGCAAUCCAUGAGUAAAGUGGCGCACGGGUGAGUAACACGUGACUAACCUACCCUUGAGUGGGGGAUAACCUAGGGAAACCUGGGCUAAUACCGCAUAAUACCUUCGGGUCAAAGGAGCAAUUCGCUUAAGGAGGGGGUCGCGGCCGAUUAGUUAGUUGGCGGGGUAAUGGCCCACCAAGACUGUGAUCGGUAUCC